CUAAGGGCAAAAGCUGCCUGUUUCCACUCCCUCACAUUCAAACUGAAAACUACGCGCCAAGGCUUUGCAGCAGAACAGAGCUGAAAUGAAAAAAAGAAAUGCCUCCCAGAAAGCAUAAGAAGUGUACUUUGGUCACUGUGAAAAAUCAUGCUGAAAAAGCUCAUGCUACAUCAGCAACCCCUGAUGCUUCUUCAGAAAGCGACACUGCUUCCCCACUGCCACAGACAUGCCCUCCUUCCUC